rnacentral:rRNA from 1 species
GACGUAGGGCGCGAGCGUUGUCCGGAUUUAUUGGGCGUAAAGAGCUCGUAGGCGGCUUGUUGCGUCAGCUGUGAAAUCCCUCAGCUCAACUGGGGAACUGCGUCUGAUACUAGAUGGCUCGAGUGCAGGAGAGGACGCGGAAUUCCAGGUGUAGCGGUGAAAUGCGUAGAUAUCUGGAGGAACACCGGGUGGGCGAAGGCGGCGUUCUGGGACUGCAACUGACACUGAGGAACGAAAGCCAGGGGAGCAAACGGG